rnacentral:RNase_P_RNA from 1 species
AGAGAUGGCUAGACAGUCGCGCUAUUGAAAAUAGUGAGGAAAGUCCGGGCUCCACAGGGCAAAGUGCCAGAUAACGUCUGGGAGACGCGAGUCUACGGCCAGUGCAACAGAAAAUAAACCGCCGAUGUCAUAUCGGUAAGGGUGAAACGGUGUGGUAAGAGCACACCGCGCUUUUGGUAACAAAAGUGGCAUGGUAAACCCCACUUGGAGCAAAACCAAAUAGAAGCGUUGUGUGAUACACAGAUAUGGCCCAUAUCACGCUUGGGUAGGUUGCUUGAGGCAAGCGGUGACGUUUGUCCUAGAUGAAUGACUGUUCUAGACAGAACCCGGCUUAUCGGCCAUCUCUACCG